CAGUCGCCGCGGUAAUACGAAGGGGGCUAGCGUUGUUCGGAAUUACUGGGCGUAAUGCGCACGUAGGCGGAUACUUAAGUCAGGGGUGAAAUCCCGGGGCUCAACCCCGGAACUGCCUUUGAUACUGGGUAUCUCGAGUCCGGAAGAGGUGAGUGGAAUUCCGAGUGUAGAGGUGAAAUUCGUAGAUAUUCGGAGGAACACCAGUGGCGAAGGCGGCUCACUGGUCCGGUACUGACGCUGAGGUGCGAAAGCGUGGGGAGCAAACAGGAUUAGAUACCCCUGUAGUCCCUGUCUCUUAUAC
rnacentral:rRNA from 1 species